UUCAACGCUGGUGUAGUAACUGGCACAAUUUCAUGCGUUUGAAAGUACGACCAGAGUUGUAAUAAAUCAACCAAGAUAGACUACAGCCUGUCGUUUCCAAUGGGAAUUACAUGAGUCAUCGUGGGAAGAACAAGCGAGGAGGAAUCUCCAAAUGCUAAGAUGAAGGAGCGGGAGGAAAACAGACAGCUUCUUUCUAUCACACCUUAACCAAGUCAUACAAUGUUUGCUUCAUGAAAAAUUGUUACAUCUUCUGAAAUAAAUACAGAGUUAUUUUUGUUCA